GACGAACGCUGGCGGCGUGCUUAACACAUGCAAGUCGAACGGAAAGGCCCUGCUUUUGUGGGGUGCUCGAGUGGCGAACGGGUGAGUAACACGUGAGUAACCUGCCCUUGACUUUGGGAUAACUUCAGGAUACUGGGGCUAAUACCGGAUAGGAGCGCCUGCUGCAUGGUGGGGGUUGGAAAGUUUCGGCGGUUGGGGAUGGACUCCCGGCUUAUCAGCUUGUUGGGGGGGUAGUGGCUUACCAAGGCUUUGACGGGUAGCCGGCCUGAGAGGGUGACCGGCCACAUUGGGACUGCGAGACGGCCCAGACUCCUACGGGAGGCAGCAGUGGGGAAUAUUGCACAAUGGGCGGAAGCCUGAUGCAGCAACGCCGCGUGCGGGAUGACGGCCUUCGGGUUGUAAACCGCUUUCGCCUGUGACGAAGCGUGAGUGACGGUAAUGGGUAAAGAAGCACCGGCUAACUACGUG
rnacentral:rRNA from 1 species